rnacentral:rRNA from 1 species
GCCAUGCGAGUCGAGAGGGUUCGGCCCUCGGCGAACUGCUCAGUAACACGCUGGUAUAAUCUAACCUUAGGUGGAGCAUAACCUCGGGAAACUGAGAAUAAUACUCCAUAGAUCUUUGAGGCUGGAAUGCGCUUAGAUUGAAAGCUUCGGCGCCUAAGGAUGAGUCUGCGGACUAUCAGGUAGUAGUCAGGGUAAAGACCUGACUAGCCUACGACGGAUACGGGUUGUGAGAGCAAUAACCCGGAGAUGAUAUCUGAGACACGAUAUCAGGCCCUACGGGGCGCAGCAGGCGCGAAAACUUCACAAUGCGCGAAAGCGCGAUGAGGGGAUCCCAAGUGCUUGCACGUAAGUGUAAGCUGUUUUUCUGUCUAAAAAGCAGAGAGAGUAAGGGCUGGGUAAGACGGGUGCCAGCCGCCGCGGUAAUACCUGCAGCUCAAGUGGUGGCCGCUAUUAUUGGGCCUAAAACGUCCGUAGCCGGCUGAGUAAAUGCCUGGGUAAAUCGUGUGGCUUAACCAUACGAAUUCCGGGUAGACUGCUCAGCUUGGGACCGGAAGAAGUUAGAGGUACUCCUGGGGUAGGGGUGAAAUCCUGUAAUCCUGGGGGGACCACCAGUGGCGAAGGCGUCUAACUAGGACGGGUCUGACGGUGAGGGACGAAGCCCUGGGGCGCAAACCGGAUUAGAUACCCGGGUAGUCCAGGGUGUAAACGCUGCUUGCUUGAUGUUAGCUGGGCUCCGAGCUCGGCUAGUGUCGGAGAGAAGUUGUUAAGCAAGCUGCCUGGGAAGUACGGUCGCAAGACUGAAACUUAAAGGAAUUGGCGGGGGAGCA